rnacentral:lncRNA from 1 species
UGCACUCACUGCUUACCCGGAGCGUGUGAACAUCAGCUAGGAGAAAACGACGUUCUUCCAGAGCUGUAGAAAGCAGGAUGUGUGAGGUAUGGUAGAAGAACUGGGAAGAGCCUACUGAACAGAAAAACUUGGGAGAACUGGCAAAUGUUUAAGCUUGAGACAUCGUGUUUCUGUUCCUAUUCCUGUCUUCCAUUCAUGCAACUUGACAGAUGGAAAAAUGACAGAAAGCCACCCUGGACUCCUCUUCCUACACCUCUUGGUGCUCACUGCAAGGAGAGAGCUGUCCCCAGGAGUGCAGGGCUGCUAGCCACAGAUCUCCGUGCCCUGCAGUGGGCAUGUGUGCUGAUACCUCUCAGAAAGGAAGGAGCUACCCCCUGG